CCCCGCCCCGCGCCGCGAAGAAAUGAAACUCACAGACCCUGUGCUGAGGGCGGCUCCGGGCGCAGAAACGAAACCUAGCUCCUGGCCCCGCUCCUGCAGCAGCUGCCUCCCGGGAACUCGCGGGAGACGCAGGUUCUCGGGCCCGAACCCAGGCCUGCUGAAUCAGAAGCUCGUCUCAUCAGGCCCGUCUGAGGAUCAAGGUGCAACAGAGGCUCCCUAAUGGCCCGGAGUCAUCCAAGCCUGCACGUAUCCUUGAACCUAGGCAUGCCCUUGCCCCCGUCGGUUUUGAAAACAGAUGCAUUGGUCUCUUUGUCUUCCUUGGCUAGAGUUUUACUGGAACGGAUGAAAGGGGUUGGGGAGGGCUGCGUCAAGCAGACCCAUGGGUGGCCCUCCCUUUGGGAGCUCCCAUUCCUGACUCACUGGCUGUGACUGGGAGACGGCAUUUCCCUUUGGGAGCGGUUGGUGUCAGGCCCCUGAGCCCAAGUCAAGCCGUCGCAUCCCCUGUGACUUACACGUAUACAUCCAGAUGGCCUGAAGUAACUGAAGAUCCACAAAAGAAGUAAAAAUAGCCUUAACUGCUGACAUUCCACCAUUGUGAUUUGUUCCUGCCCCACCCUAACUGAUCAAUGUACUUUGUAAUCUCCCCCACCCUUAAGAAGGUUCUUUGUAAUUCUCCCUACCCUUGAGAAGGUACUUUGAGAGAUCCGCCCUCUGCCCCCCAAAACAUUGCUCCUAACUCCACUGCCUAUCCCAAAACCUAUAAGAAGUAAUGAUAAUCCACCACCCUUUGCUGACUCUCUUUUCGGACUCAGCCCACCUGCACCCAGGUGAAAUAAACAGCCAUGUUGCUCACACAAA